UACGUAGGUCCCGAGCGUUGUCCGGAUUUAUUGGGCGUAAAGCGAGCGCAGGUGGUUUAUUAAGUCUGGUGUAAAAGGCAGUGGCUCAACCAUUGUAUGCAUUGGAAACUGGUAGACUUGAGUGCAGGAGAGGAGAGUGGAAUUCCAUGUGUAGUGGUGAAAUGCGUAGAUAUAUGGAAGAACACCAGUGGCGAAAGCGGCUCUCUGGUCUGUAACUGACGCUGAGGUUCGAAAGCGUGGGUAGCAAACAGG
rnacentral:rRNA from 1 species